AUGAACCUGGUGAGCCACAGCAGGGAAGCUGGCACUGGCCAGUUGCUCUUCGCCAACUUCAACAGGACGACAUAGCCGUGCAAAGGGCACCAAGAGCAGCUGGUCUCCAUCAUCUCACUGUAUCCUGGUCCCUAGCUGUUGGUAAAAGUCAGGUUAUAAAUUUUUCUGCCUUUCUUCUGUGGAUAAGCUGGAACAGAUCUAUGAAUGCGCUGAUAUUGAAGAUAUGUGCAUUAUAGAAAGACUGUUCUCAAGCAGCUUAGUGGCCAUCAUUAGCCUCAAAGCCCCCAGGAAGCUAAAAGUUUGCCAUUUUAAGAAGAGAACCGAGAUCAGCAACUAUGCCACUCCAACAUGAUACUGGCUGUGAAGCUCAACAGGCAGAGGCUACAGUAUGAAGAAUCUCUAUAUAUACACCACAUCCAGGAUACGAAGGUACUGCAUGUGAUCAGAGAGACCCCUCUGCAGGCUUGUGUGUACUGUCAAUAAACAAUGACAAUUGUUACUUGGCAUACCCAGGGAGUGCAACCAUUGGGGAGGUGCAGGUCUUUGAUAUGAUUAAUUUGAGAGCUACAAACAUGAUCCUGGCUCAUGAUAGUCCUUUAGCAGCAUUGGCUUUUAAUGCAAAUGGAACCAAACGUGCCACUGCUUCUGAGAAGGGGACCGUGAUUAGGGUAUUUUCCAUUCCAGAGGGACAAAAACUCCUUGAAUUCAGGAGAGGAGUUAAGAGGUGUGUUAGCAUCUGCUCAUUGGGCCUUCAGUAUGGACAGCAUGUUCCUCUCUGCAUCUAGCAAUGCCAAGACUGUGUACAUCUUCAAACUCGAGACUGUGAAGGAAAAACCUCCAGAGGAACCACCACUUGGACUGGCUACUUUGGGAAGAUGCUCAUGGCCUCCACUAGCCACCUGCCUUCUCAAGUGACAGAAAUGCAACCAGGGCAGAGCCUUUGCCACAGUCCACCUACCCUUCUGUGGCCACAAAAACAUCUUUUCACUGGCCACAAUUCAGAAGAUCCCCCGGCUGUUGGGGGGAUCUGUAGAACCUGGACCCCCCAGGAGGGGGGUGAGUGCGCCCUCAUGAAGCAGCACCAGUUGGAUGGCAGUAUGGAGACGGCCAGUGAAAUCUCAGACUCUGCCUCUCAUGACUGUCCCUUAGUAACUCAGACAUACAGUACAGCUGUAGCAAAAGGUACUAUGUGCCUUCAUCUCCAACAAGACUUGGUGAGGAGCAUGACAGAAACCUUGAAGCCUACACAGAUGACUUGGGUGCCAUGGGUGGUGCUUGUCUGGAGGAUGAAACCAGCGCCCUACGCCUGGAUGAGGACAGGGAGCAUCCUCCCAUGAUUCUUUGGACUGACUGAACCUGACCUGUGACCUCUGAUCCUGGAAGCAGAGAACACCGGCUUGACAGAGGACUUUGUGCAUUGCUGCUAUGAACUUUGACCUGAAUUAGGGAGAGGAUGGCAGAGACCUUAAAAAAAAAAAGAUUGUA